UCAAAUAAAGGGCAAACUAUCCGCGAGGGUAGGACGCAAAGUUGUAAACCUUAAAAGAAUUAAAGGUGGUUUAACUGCAAUC
rnacentral:ncRNA from 1 species